rnacentral:rRNA from 1 species
UGGGGAAUAUUGGACAAUGGGCGCAAGCCUGAUCCAGCCAUGCCGCGUGAGUGAUGAAGGCUCUAGGGUUGUAAAGCUCUUUCACCGGUGAAGAUAAUGACGGUAACCGGAGAAGAAGCCCCGGCUAACUUCGUGCCAGCAGCCGCGGUAAUACGAAGGGGGCUAGCGUUGUUCGGAUUUACUGGGCGUAAAGCGCACGUAGGCGGACUAUUAAGUCAGGGGUGAAAUCCCGGGGCUCAACCCCGGAACUGCCUUUGAUACUGGUAGUCUUGAGUUCGAGAGAGGUGAGUGGAAUUCCGAGUGUAGAGGUGAAAUUCGUAGAUAGUCGGAGGAACACCAGUGGCGAAGGCGGCUCACUGGCUCGAUACUGACGCUGAGGUGCGAAAGCGUGGGGAGCAAACAGG